GACGAACGCUGGCGGCGUGCUUAACACAUGCAAGUCGAACGGAAAGGCCCUGCUUUUGUGGGGUGCUCGAGUGGCGAACGGGUGAGUAACACGUGAGUAACCUGCCCUUGACUUUGGGAUAACUUCAGGAAACUGGGGCUAAUACCGGAUAGGAGCUCCUGCUGCAUGGUGGGGGUUGGAACGUUUCGGCGGUUGGGGAUGGACUCGCGGCUUAUCAGCUUGCUGGUGGGGUAGUGGCUUACCAAGGCUUUGACGGGUAGCCGGCCUGAGAGGGUGACCGGCCACAUUGGGACUGAGAGACGGCGCAGACUCCUACGGGAGGCAGAAGUGGGGAAUAUUGCACAAUGGGCGGAAGCCUGAGGCAGCAACGCCGCGUGCGGGAUGACGGCCUUCGGGUUGUAAACCGCUUUCGCCUGUGACGAAGCGUGAGUGACGGUAAUGGGUAAAGAAGCACCGGCUAACUACGUG
rnacentral:rRNA from 1 species